rnacentral:sRNA from 1 species
GUCGGGUUACAGUGAGUCCCGUUGGAAAGAUUAGCAAAGCAGUUCAUCAAUAAGACGCAUCAGUGCUGUAACACGUAGUACGUCCUGUUUUUGAUACCGUCCGUUUUUUAUUUCCCGCAUUUCGCCGAUCAGCGAUCACAACGAUCCCGACGGCACAUUCAAGAUUGAAUUCAGGAUUAUUAUCUAUGUCUACUGUUACCGGCACCGUCAAGUUCUUCAACGAAUCCAAAGGCUUCGGCUUCAUCACUCGUGAAGGCGGCCCCGAUGUAUUCGUUCAUUACAGCGCUAUUCAGGGCGGCGGUUUCAAGACUCUGGCUGAAGGCCAGCAGGUCGAGUUCACCGUUACCCAGGGCCAGAAAGGUCCCCAGGCGGAAAACGUACUUGGCCUGUAAAUAACAGCCAACGUACUGAAAAAGGCAGCAUUUGCUGCCUUUUUUUUG